GGCGCACGGGUCGAUGCGCGCGCGGGGGGGCCGCGGACUGGUGCCGUGUCCCAGAGAAGUCGCUGCUCGGAUCUCCGCCACCCUCGGAGUUGGCACCUUCCAAGACCGACCAGGAUGGGCAGAGGGGCCAGACGCCUCCACAUGCAUCGCUUAUCCAGGACCGGGACCCAGCUAGCCCCAGGACCGGAAUCCAGCCACCGCCCCCCACCCCGGGUCCGGCUACCCGCGAUCGCGCUGUGUUGGAGAAAGUGUUGGUCCUGGUCCGUGGGGUGACUUGGCUAUUUGGCAGCGGGGUCGGGUCCUAUUGUGGGUGUGCCACACUUUUCCCCCUUGGUCCGGCUGACCAGCUUCGAGAUUGUGGCUGGUCUCGAAGUCUGGGGGCGGCCAGGCUACUUCGGGGCAAAAGCAGCGAGGCCCAUUAGACUCACGCUCUCCCUCUCUGCACCGCCCUGGAACUCUGGGCGUCUGGGUGUCCCCUCUCCCCCUCAGCUGUCACCCCACCCUCAGCCAUGCCACCGCUCUGCAGUCCCAGCCCUGGCCUGCGCGCAGGGAAGGAGAUACGAGGUGGAGAGGUUGCGCUCCCUGGGGUCUCUCCUGUGCCUGUCACAUCUGUACUUAUUUAAAGCUCAGCUGGUGGCCUCUCUCUUUCCCUGGAAUUGCCAAUUGCAGGCCUAGCCCUCGGAAGAUAUUUGCGUUGAUUAGCGAGCGGGUCAUGGAGAGGGGGGUAGUGGACUGCAGCGGACACCCCGAGGCUCAGUAUCUUCUGCCUACCCCAUCCAUCCCUCCAGCCAGCUUGCGAAUGCCCGCUGCACGAGAUUGCUGAGUGCGUCAGGGCGCGGAGAACCGAACUUCAGGAACGGUUGGAUGUGUAUGGGAACCGACAGUUUCUGCUGGGGGUACUGCGUUCUAGUCUGGUGAACACACACACACACACACCCCUAAAGUUUCAGAGGUGUCCCCAGCGAAUCACACAGAGAAAGUCUGCAGUGUUUCCACUCCAGGCGCUACAAGUGUAUUUGUAAGUGUGGCAUACACAGAUUUCUCGGUAUAAAACUCUUUAUUAAAUGUUUACUGGGGCAAGUCCAUAAAAGAUGUGAUGGAGCCGCCUCACUUCCAGGGCUGCACACAAAGCUAAGACAGACAGGAGUCCUGCGUCUGAGAGCUGGGUCAAGUUCAUCAGUAAAUAAUAAUAAUAAUAAUAAAUAAUAAUAAGCUGUGUUCCAAUUUAUAAGACGCCCACGGUGUGGUUGUGGGUGUGGAUGGGAGGGGGCCCUUGCGCCUAUGAUUGGGAACUUCAUGAGCCUCAAAACAAGUCUGUUCUGAUUUUGUGUUUACCUUUGGACUUGGUAUAACUGAGGGUGAAAAUAAGACUCCCUCUGUAUUUCUGUUCCCCCUUGCUUUUCUGCAAAAGCCUUUUACCCCAGAGCAAAGUUGUUUUAGUAAUCUGGGAACGAGGAAUUGUGUGCUGAAUCAGCAAAAAGAAGAAGAAGAAAAAAAAAAGGGAGCACCAGGCCAGUUCAGGUCAAUAAUACUGCUAUGUGUAAUGUACACACUCUAUACGCCUUUGUGGAAAUAAUCAAAAAAUAUAUUGGAAUUUUUCGCAGCUUAAGAAAUGUCCACAAAGCCUGCUGGCAGCAGUGAGGCCAAAAUUGGGUAAGAGCUGUCUGUAUCUUCUUAACACAAAGAAGUACACCCCAAAUGCGUAACAAGUGUUAGAUUCCACACCAGCACCUUACCUGGGGGUGAAAGAGAAACACGAAUCUCAACAUAAAAUACUCAUUUUUCCAAUGGUCAGGUUGCAGAACAGAGGCACUGUUCCUGCCUGUUCUGUGACAAAUGUUCAAGGUGGUCUAGUGGACGGAACCCUUUUUCAAAAAAAUUUUGCAUUAAUAAAAAUGCUUCUCAAGCAUAGCAUCUUUAAA